GGCAAGGGGCUGAGCAGAGGGGGGUUCCGGUGCCAGUUGCUUAAAAAUGCCCCUGUAGCACCAAGAGGUGCCAGACCCAAGUGAACUUAGUUGGGAAGCAGUAACACCCACAACCACACCCCAAAUAGACUGGGCCUCCACCUCCGAAGAUUCAUCCCUGGACCAGCCACCAGUCAAGGCAAGAGUGAUGGCUGGUAGGAAUCCUCCUACCCUGGAGAAGAGCCCCAGAGAGGAACCUUCCUGAGAAGCCAAGAAGGGACACCAAUGGCCGCUCGGCUCUCAGAACUCGUCCCCUCCUCUCACCCCUCCCGGGAGCUUCCCAACAGACAGAAGGGAGAGAUCCCCUUGCCUGGAGACAUUUUCUGAAGAAGUGAGAAAAGGAGAAGAGGCGGGCUACUCCCUGGCAGCAGGCCUUCAAGCUGUUGACAACCAGAACCAACAAGAGCGCCAGCCCCGAGGAAAGGCUGCCUACCCUCUUCAGAAAAUCCUGAAGGUAUGUGUCAUCCAGCACCAAGGCCACCACAGUCACCAUGAAGCAGAGGUCAUCUGGGGGACCCUGGGGUCUUAGCAAGAGCAGGGUGAGUGGGUGGUUUGGGGGUGGGGAGGUGCUCUGUUCACCUGGAAGUUCCCAUACAAGCCGUGACCACAGAAGAUGGUCACCACUUGUCAUCUGCUGUCUGUGGUCAUGUGCAAAGUCAUUGGCAGGGUUCUAGGGACCCCAAAUUAUAACAUAUGGACCCUGGCCUCAGGGAACUGGAGAGAGAUGCUGGGGUGACCCAGAGAUAAACCGCUCCAAGGCUACAGAGGAUGAGGUGGGUUGCAAGCCAUCUACUCAAGCAGUGUUCAAUGCGGCCUUGAUCCGGGGGUUGAGGGAAGCCAACAGGAUCCCUUUCCUUAUGAAGGAAAGUGGCCACAGUUGAAAACGAUACCUCAAGAGCUAGGGAGAAACAGAAUGCAAAGGAUGGGCAAGCCCAUGAAGGAGAUGUCCUGAGAUCUAAAGAAGUAAUGGAUGGUUUCUCACUAGCAGUCAUUUGUCCUGCAUGCAUAAAAACACGGAUGGGGGGCGGCGCGCAAACACGGGAGCCACAGGUUGAGCAGGCCAGCCCUAGGUUCCAUCUUUAUCACUGAAAAAAAUAAAUUAACUGCAUGCUUGAAAUGGAUGGGUCUAUC